CCCUUGAAAGUGAAAGAUCCCCGAAGAGAGACCCUUACUCAAGUCUCAGGAAGUCGCAGACACCAGACACAGAGAGACCA
rnacentral:pre_miRNA from 14 species